UACGAAGGGGGCUAGCGUUGUUCGGAAUUACUGGGCGUAAAGCGCACGUAGGCGGACCUUUAAGUCAGGGGUGAAAUCCCAGAGCUCAACUCUGGAACUGCCUUUGAUACUGGGUGUCUUGAGUAUGGAAGAGGUGAGUGGAAUUCCGAGUGUAGAGGUGAAAUUCGUAGAUAUUCGGAGGAACACCAGUGGCGAAGGCGGCUCACUGGUCCAUUACUGACGCUGAGGUGCGAAAGCGUGGGGAGCAAACAGG
rnacentral:rRNA from 1 species